AACGAACGCUGGCGGCAGGCCUAACACAUGCAAGUCGAGCGCGCCCUUCGGGGUGAGCGGCGGACGGGUGAGUAACGCGUGGGAACGUACCCUUUGCUACGGAAUAGUCUCGGGAAACUGGGGGUAAUACCGUAUGAGCCCUUCGGGGGAAAGAUUUAUCGGCAAAGGAUCGGCCCGCGUUGGAUUAGGUAGUUGGUGGGGUAAUGGCCCACCAAGCCGACGAUCCAUAGCUGGUUUGAGAGGAUGAUCAGCCACACUGGGACUGAGACACGGCCCAGACUCCUACGGGAGGCAGCAGUGGGGAAUCUUAGACAAUGGGCGCAAGCCUGAUCUAGCCAUGCCGCGUGAGCGAUGAAGGCCUUAGGGUUGUAAAGCUCUUUCGUGGGGGAAGAUAAUGACUGUACCCCAAGAAGAAGCCCCCGGCUAACUCCGUGCCAGCAGCCGCGGUAAU
rnacentral:rRNA from 1 species